CGGCCCCUCCCCCGCAAGGAUGGGGAAGUCAAGGCAGCAAGCGCCGCGAGCGUGCGUCUGGUUGUCGGCGCGCACACCUCGUCGUUCUCCUUGCGUGAAUUAAGAGUUUUGCGGGGCUCCCACAUUUGCUCUGCUGGAGUUAGUUGCCUCCGCUACUGGGUCGCAUCCAGGACGUCUUAAAUUGGCCAGUUUCCUCUCCAGAUUGCGUAGUCCCCCUUUCCUCUGCACGACCACCUUCCCCGCCCCUGGCCUCAUGCCUACCUCCAAGGGAGAGCUGAAAGCCAAAGAAUUACCUCUGGGAACACCACCGACAAUUAAGAAUCUGGAUGAACCCGCCCCAUUGUGAAAUUCACAUAGUUUGAACUACUCAUGGCACGGAAACUUAUCAAAUGUGGCCGGAGCCAAAAACUACCCUGGAUCAAGCCAAACUGCCCCUGCUUCUAGUAUAGUAAACGUACACCCCUGGCAGAGGCAGUAAAAACAAGAGCAUAUCUAACAAGUAACUCCACCACACCUGGACAACUGCACGGUUAUACAAUAUGCCCUUGCACGCAUGAAUACCUAUGCAUGGCUCAGGACCCCAGCACAGUGGCUUACUGUGAUCCUUCCAAGGUGACCAAGCACUAAGCCACUCCACCCCAGCAGUAAAAUGCAUAUUUACCAGUCCCAAGCCCAAAGCCAACACUGCUGCCAGUCCCAACUCUCAGAAUGUGGCCAGUAGCAAGAGGAAACAGACACCUAAAGAGAAGGAGAAAUACAAUUUAAAUAAAAUCUAAAUUCAACUAGAAGAGCCAGACUCUCUGAACCAGAGGAGAUAAAAGUCCUGUGCUUGGAGCUGCUGAGGUGCAAAAUGAGACCCAGAACAAGUAUACUUUGAUGGGGACCAGAGCAAAGAACCGGAGCACAGAGCAUUACCUAGAAGAGCAGAACUGAGCACAGCAUUAUUACCGUGGAGCAUCCUGGCUAAGGAGGCUGCAAUGCCAACUGCAUCACCAGGAUCCCUGAUACUCCGGCUUCCUAUUGCCUGUAGCCAAUUGGAAGUGCUGGCAGGAGAUCAUAGUGUGACACAGAAAGGAAGUCAGGGUAAUUCUUCCUCUAGUUCUCUGCCUUACAAGUAGCUACUGGUCAGCCAUGUCCCUCUACUGAAGGUCCCAGCUCCUUAUGGGCCGUCCUCACUCCUCAAUAUAGCUACCCUCUCUGGGUUCCAGUAACUAGCUCAGAAUUCUGUAUUACCUCUGUAAAUGUCCCCCACUUGAAAAUCCCAAUUUUAUUAAGCUCUUCUUAAAAUAUCCAAUUGCAUGUGCCAUCUAAGACCACUUCUGAUAGUCAAUCAACAUCCAUCAAACUGACAGCAUGAUAAUUAAGAUCAUAAAAACUGCCCCCAAGACAAGUACUGACCCAGACUUUGUCCUAUAAUUUUAUUAGUUUGAAUUGUUACAAAGGGGACUUUCAAAAGUCCCCUCUCCCCCUUUGGUGGUACUGGAGAUUGAACCCAAGACUUCUCAUGUGCUAGGCAAGUAUUCUACCACUGAGCCACAUCAUCAACCUUUAAUUUUUUCUGUGUCCUAUACUUCCAGUUUGAAUAAGUUCCCUUCAAAUGAAUAGUAAUACCUGGGUAAUACCCUUGUUAAGUAUGUAUAGGUGUUAGAUAUAUGCUUGCUUUUUCACUCAAUUGCGCAAAGAUGUAAAACUAAAACUGUAUUGAAGCCGUAAAUUAUUAAGAGUAACUAAAUAUUAAUAGAUUAUAGUGCAGUAAUUCAGAGUACAAGCUUGCUGUCAGAUAGAUAGGCACUGAAAUCUUAACUGUGGGCUUUGAAAAGUUACUUAAUCUCUCCAAGCCUUGGUUUUUCUCUUCCAUGAAUAGUUGUAUAAUUGGGAUCAAUCGAAAAAUUUGUCCCUGGAGGUCAAUUUUUUUCAAUUGAUUAUUCUACUAGUCUAUAUUCUUGUCUUAUGGUCUACAGAAGUCAGAGAGAAAGCAGCUACAUACAGCUAUUACUAGAAUUUCUACUCUAUUAUAGUUAAUAUGUACAAUUCAUGUCAAAAGGUAUGCAAGCAUUACUACAAACUGCAUCGGAUACAGCUUGGUGGUCCAGGUUAUUACUUGCAAAUCCACAAGUCCUGUUUUAGCCACAAAAUCAAGUAUCGUUGCAGCUGUUCUCCCAAGAGGGAAAUAUGGGGUUUUGGUAUCAUAGAUACCACUCAUCAGCUAGCUAUUAGUUAUUUGGAAAUUGUUAGCAACCAUUCUGCCCAAAAUUUACUGCCUAUUUUGCAAUGCAUAAUUCAGACGUGCUGUACAUUCUUUCCAAUUUAUGAUCUAUGUAUAAUAAUUUUCAGCUUCUUUUUAAUUUUCAACAUACUCAGUUUAGCAAUUCAUGUAACUUCUUACAUUGAGUCAUAUUAGAGCAAAUGUAAAGCAAGAUCCAAGACCAUGGGAAGAGUUUAUCCAGAUAUAUUAAACUCAUUUUUGACUGAGUUUAUAUGGUGCAAUUAAUAUGGAAAAUAAUGCUUUAAUUCUUUUUUAAUGCAUAUCUCAAAACACAUUUCUGGUAACUAAUAUGAUACUUUGACUUUGGAUUUUAGUAUUAACCUUUCAGGGGCAAAUUCUUCAAUUGAGUACAUCUGACAGACAACUUAAUCCGAUAACCAUAACUACUUUAGUGUGUUGUGAAAGCUAAAUGAGGUUUAUUUAUAAAAUAGGAAUACAGUAAGGACUUGAAAAAUGUUAACUGUCAUCAUUGCUAUUAGUUUUAAUUUGAAAUCCUCCAAUGACAUGACGAUGAACAUCUUUUUAUGUGCUUUUUAGCUAUCUGUCUACUUCGGUGAGGUAUCUAUUCAGAUCUUUUGCCCAUUUUUCAGUUGGGUUGUUAAUUUUCUUAUCGAUGAGUUUUAAGAAUUCUUGGUAGCUUGUGGAUAAUGGUCCUUUAUCAGAUAUGUCAUUUACAGAUAUUUGCUGAUAGUCUGUGCCUUAUUUUCUCAUUUUUUAAAAUAUUAUUGCUAUUUUGAUACUAAAAUAUUAUUAAAAUGAGGGAUAUAUACUAAGAAGAACCAAUAAAAUAAACUCUAAAAAAAUUAAAAUCAUGACACAUUCUAGUGAAUCAUCUCAUACAGUUGUUGUGGGGAUUACAUGAGUUAAUAUUUCCAAAAUACUUAGGAAACUACUAUAGUCAAAAAUUAUGUGAGUGUUAAUUAAUACACAAUUAUUAUUUAAGUACAAAUACCUAGGAACAAUUCACUUUCUUUCUCCAUAUCUUUUUAUUAUAUGACUUCAUCCUGAAACUUUUUUCCUAGGUUUAUAGACCUUCCUAAGCACAUACAUAAUUAAGUUCUGACUUUUUACAUCAGGUCAGUUUACGGUCAAAAGUUAUUUCAAGUUUUCUUGAAUAUUUUAUUCCUCACUAUGUUAGCCAACAUUUCUUCACUAUAACAAAAUAUCCAAGAAAAUCAACGUGAAGGAGGAAAGACUUAUUUUCACUUAAACUUUCAGAGAUUUCAGUCCAUGGUCACUUGGCCCUGCUGCCUUGGGCCUUUAGUGAGGCAGAAUGUGGUAGAGCGAAGGUGCUCGCUGUGGUAGUCAGGAAGCAAAGCAAGAGAGACAGAGGGAGGAAGGGGCUGGGGACCAGAUAUAUCCUUCCAGGCACACCCUCAGUGACUUUUUCCAAUAUGUCCUACCUCCUACAAUUUCCACCACCUCCCAAUAAUUCAUUCAAUUAUGAACACAUCACAGGAUACAUCCAUUGAUGAGGUCAGGUCCCUCAUCAAUGUCUCUCAUCAUUUCCCUAAAGCCUGCUCUGAUAAUUACUGCACUGAAGAUUAAGCCUUAACACAUUAGCCUUUGGGGGACAUUCCAAAUCCAAACCACAAUACCCACACUCUUAAAUGAGAUCAUAUAUAUCUUUUUUAGAGCAUGUUAAUUAUACGUAGCCAUUGGGUUAAUUUUGACAAAAUCAUACAUGCAAGGAAUUUGAUUUCAAGCCCUAUCCCCCCAUAUAUCUUUCUACCACUAUGGUAGAACAAUUGGACCUGCUUUCCAACCCAACUUCUCACCUUGACCCCCACCUCAGUGACAUAAAUCUGGAAAACAAGUGAUUGGGAAGAAAUGACUGGAACUGGAGCAGUUGAUUCUCCAUUAAUUUAGGGAUUUAUGUGCAUUAAAUUUGGAGAUAACUCAGAAUAGUGAAGGGAUAAAUGCUUUCUUUAAAACAAUGAUCCAGAGUUCCUGCUCUCCAGGUGUCAAAUUUAUGAUAAUGGGGAAUAUGAAAUUCCUUAUUUAGACGAGGCAAGUGUUUUCAUGACUAAACUCAUCUUUGAUUUUGUGGCUUGUGUUCCGGUACACAGACGAAGGUGCCCGAGGCCCAGAGUAGAUAUUGCUGUCUUACCGCUCCCUUCCCCUGUCCUCUGGAUAGAAGCUUAAAGUGCCUCUUUUCGUGCAGGAGCCAACAGACCCCAACACCAGAGCCUUUUAGUCAUAGCUGAGAGCAGAAAUUCUGAAUAUGUGAGUAAAUCUGCUGAUACCCUGUGAAGUCUGAGGAUGUAAAUGUUACUUAUACAAGAAAAAAACUCAAGGGGUCUGAAAUUUGACUAUUUCUUUCGAGAAAAGGGUAGAUUCUAAGAGAAAAGGUGUUUGGUGGGGAUGGGGGUUAGAGGAGAAGGCUAAUAAAAAUGAGAGAGAAGAAGCUGGUACCAAGGGAAUGUCCAUGAGGGAUGCUCUCUAAAAGCCUCGGUGAAAAUAUCCAGCUCCUUAUCUAUGGUACACAUAAACAAAUUCUAGAACAGGCACCUUGCUUGAUUUCUCCCAGGCUCUUCCCUCUACAUUAGCAAGGAGUCUUUUGGAUGUAAAUGAUAGAGAUGAAAACUAGCCAAAGUGUUAAAGGGAAAUUGUAGGUUUCAAUAAACAGGAAGACUAAUAGGUGAACUGAUUUCAGGUGAGCUGGAUCCAGGGGUUCGAAUUAUAACAUUAGGACUUUGUUUUCUCUGACAUCUCUUAGUUCUACAGACAGCUAAUUAUGUUGAUUUCCGUCAGAAUUCCUCCAUGUGAUAUCAAAGAUAAUCACUAGAUAUCCCUAGCUUGUGCCAUCCUUCAAGAUAAAGAGAAAACAGAGAACCUUUUCUCCCCAGCAUGUCAUUCAGUUGAUAUCAGUCUCUGCAGAGGCCCCUGAUGAGACUGUGUCCAUCUCUCUGGAUCCAAGAGGAUGAGACAUUUUGACUAGUCAACUUGAGAUUGAUGCCUACAAUAACCACAUGGUAGGGGGAGAGGCCUUUCCCAGCCGUCCAAGGCAAUCUCAGUUCUGUAAUUCUGGUUAGAAUACUUCUCUAAACUAUGAAAUGAGCUUAUUUUUACUCCCAUGGUGUAUUUGAUGCCACCUCAGGCAUCAAGGACAGGCCACGGAUCAUCCUCUCAGAACUUUUUCCCCCAUGGUGGAUCAGCGGGUGAUGCUUUGCCUAGAUAUUGAAAUCGAGAUUUAAAACCUUGGAAGGUUACUGGGCUGUACCACCGCCCCAACUUUCCUUCCUACUUUCCCUAGCUGGUCACUAAGGCCACACCUAUGACACAGGAAAAGAAAGCAUCUGGCACAGAUUAUGUCAGUACACUAACCACAUGUAUUCUUUCAUACUCUCACUUCACCAAUCUGUUUUUGACUCCACUGGGGUCAAACCAAGAAGACAAGACAGAAAAGAGAUCAUGCCAGAUUAGUCACAUAAUUCCUCUGUGAAAACUUGAUGAUGACCUCUUAUAUUUCAGUGAAGCUUUUUUUUUUUUUUUUUUGACAGCUGGCUUUUAAAAGUCGUCUACUAGAUAGAUUCAAUUUAAUGACCAAUUUCUUUUUAAUAACCUUGGCAGGCCCCCUGGAGUUUUGGUCAUUGAAAUAGAACAUAAUAGAAUUUUCUCAAGAAAUAAAAGAUGAUUUUUUUAAUAUAGCUUCUCACAUUUAAACACAUUUGCCUAUGUGGUCCAUCCGAAAAGCUAGAACUAAUGAAAUGACAUUCUCAUUUUCUUAUUUUCAGAGUCUUCUCCUCCACCUUAUGCAUCUUUCAAAACCCUAAUCUAAAAUGAUUCCUUCCAGGAAGUCUUCAUUGAUUAAUUACUCCCGGGUCUGAUGACUUAUUUUUCUCAUCAUAUAAAUAACAGCAGUGGAUUAUGUUCACCUUUUCUGAGUUCCUAAGUGGAUUUGAAAUUUCAUGAGUCUUGGGAUUUGAAUGUAUCCUUCGCACCCUCAAUUUCUUAGGCAGGCGUCUUCUUUCCUUUUUCUAUAGAAUCUUCCCUUUCCUUGCCCCUCAUUUCUUUGCUUUAAGAAAAGACAAAAGAGAAACUUAUUUAUUGGUGUAGUGAGGAUAUCCUGAGCUCCAGAAAUUGCCAGAGCCUAGGUGAAAGUCCAGCUUUAUUUACUGACUGCAUGGGAGUUAGUUAAAAGCUUGAUUUCUGACAUAAAGAAGAUUCUUGAGGCUUUGUCUGAGAGUUAAAUAAGAUGUGUUCAAAAGCGUGUAAGGAUGUUUAGAGAUCUUUUGGAAAGCCCUUUUUUGCUUAGUGAUAUGAUCAUAGAAGAUACUGAAUCCAUGGAAUAUCUUUCUCACUUGUUGUUGAUAUCUAAAAUUCUCUUCCAGAAGACAAAACUUGUUAUGCAAAUUAGAAGUAAGAUUAAAGUUGCCAAUAGUCUUGAGGCAAGUAAUAAUGAACUUAAAUAUGUUCACUCUGCCACAUACAUUAAAUACCUGGCCCAGCACCCCAUCAAGUUUCCUUCCUUUGCCUGUGAUUGAGAACAGUAAUUGGCCAUCCCUUACCUGCGACUGACAGCUUUAUUUGUUAUCCCCCCCUCAGCCUGUGAUGUGCCUCAGAACUCUCUACACAGGAUGCUUGACAGACAUUACCAAUCGUAGUGUGAGAGGUGAUAUUAAGCCCUUAUUGUUCCACCUAUGUUAAGACAUUCAACAUGGACACUGGUUAGUUUUCAAAGAGCAGGAUUUGAUUUAAGGGUAAGAGGUACAUUAGAGGAAAACAAUAAGAGAGCAAUUAUUUCUGGGUGAGGAGAUGAGAAAGGGCACCAGGAGAGAAAAGAUGCAACUUCUCUAGGCUGAUACAUUUUCUAAGCUGCAGCCAUUAUGCACAAAUGUAUUUCUCCAGGACUGAACUGAAAGGAUUGCCUCUCAUUGCCUCAUGGACAUGUUACUUGUUGACCUAGUUCCAUUUUCUUAUCUUCAUUGUCUUCCUUUCUUUGUCAACUUUGAUCCAUUUCUUUGUUCCAAAAUCCAUGUGUCUAAUUCCCCUAUUUUUGUCAGGAAAUAGGGAUUAGGUUAUGUUUAAGGUCAACUAUGACUCCAGACUCUUGAUUCCAUGUUCCUGACUAAGUUUUUCUUCUUCAUUCAACCCUCAACUUCUGGGUUGACACAUCCACAGUCAGGUUUCCUAAUAAUGACACAAUUAUUGGCAAGUCUUGAACUGUCAUCUUACCUGAUUGCAUAGACUCCUGUCACUAGAUACAGUCAAGUCAAUGAUGGGAUUAAACAUAGGCUGGAAUUGUAAGGUUCACUGUUUUAUCUUGACACUUAUAAGCCUGCACAAGACCAUUCACAAAGUGAUAGUCAAAUACAUUGAGGUCAACUAAAAGUCACUUAUUAGUGCCUAAAGUUAGUAUAAUCUUUUAUUAUAAUUAUAACACACUAAAGCCAAACUGGAUUUCUAAGCUUAACAAUUCUCUUUUCUGAACUUUGGUUUUCUACUCUAACCAAAAAGGAGGACUGAAGUAUUAUGGGUAAACUCCAGGGCCUCUGCUGGUUCUUACAUUCCAUGCUUCUUUGGAAACAAUGGAGAGACUAUUAGUAGAGAGCAGUGUAGGGCUUUGGAGCUAGGAGAAGCAGAGUUUGGGAGCUAGAACAGUUUUGCCUGGUUCUUGCCAGAUUCAAGAGGUGCUCUUCUCACCAUAAUUAACACUUUUACUCAGAAAAUCUGAAAUCUGAUAGGUUCCAAAAUCUGAAACUUUUUGAGUACCACAGUGACACCAUGAGUAAAAAAAUGCCACAUCAUAAAACUCUGCUUUAUGUAUAAAAUAAUUAAGGCUAUUACAUAAAAUUAUCACUGUGCUAGGGCAGAGAGGAUCAAGUAUCAUGGAGCCUUAUGUGGUCCUUGUAGGAAAUUUGAAUCUGACCAAGACAGCGAUGGAAGCCACUGGAUUGUGUCUCCCUACCAGAGAGUUCCAUUUGGAUUCUCUAUUCCUAUUAAAUGAGGAAAGGUUUCAUCCUUAGCCAGUUUGCUGCAAAUAUAAAGAACAGAUCAGUACCUCACACCUAUGAGGAUGACUGCCAUUUAAAAAAAAUCCAUAAAAUGAGCAGAUACGUGUUGCAGAGGAUGAGAAGAGAUUGGAAACUUUGUGCACUGUGUGUGGGAAUGUAAAAUAGUGCUACUGCUAUAGAAAACAAGAUGGAGGUGCCUCAAAAAAUUGAAAAUAAAAUCUUACAUGAUCCAGGAAUUCCACAUCUGGGUAUAUGUUCCAAAAAAUAUUGAAAGUAAAGUCUUGAAGAGAUAAAUGCAUUUCCAUGUUCAUGGUAGCAUUAUUCAUAAUAGUCAAGGGGUGGAAGCAACCCAAAUCAUGACUGAUGGAUGCGUGGAUAAGCAAAGUGUGACACCUAUAAACCAUGGACUAUUACUCAGCCUUGAAAAGAAAGGAAAUUCCUUCACAAGCUACCAACUUGAUAAACCUUUAGGUCAUGCUAUCUGAAAUAAGUCACACACAAACAAAAAUACUCUAUGAUUCCACUUAAGUUGGAUAUUUAAAAGUAUUCAAGUUCAUGGAAAGAGAAAUAGAAUGAAUAGUGGUUUCCAGAGGCUUUGGGGAGGAAGGAAUGGGGAAUUGUUCAGUGGGUAGAUGGUUUCUGUUUUGUGAGAUGAAGAAGUUCUGGAGACUGAUGGCAUAGCAGUGUACAUACACUUAACAUUGCUGAACUGAA